UGUAAUUGUAGCCUUAAUCAUUUUGGAGACAUGAUAGAGAUGUACCCUGAGAGCUUGGGCCCUUUAGACUGUGUGUAGUCUGUCUCUUACUCAUUGAAGCACAUACACAAUAGUUGAUAUUGGAAAGGGGUAUUCAACUUCAAAUUAAAAACACCCAUUUAUCAAGUACUUUCUUUCUUUCUUUCUUUCUUUCACACUGAACUCUUCAUUUUUAUUCAUCCUUCCUUUCCAGCUUUCCACCUCAAACUUUGGUUCUUUAGUGGUUCAUGGAUAUUGGUAUCCUUGAGGCACAAACUUGGUGGGUGUAUUAUAAGAGCUGUGACUGAAAGCUGCAUGGCUAGAAGCCAAGGGCUUGUGAGAUUUUAUGGAUUAGUUUUUUUGCUUCUCCUCUUCCUCUUCCUAUCUGUGUUGCUUCAGCCUCAGCUCCUGCUCAAGGUGAAGAUCAACAGCAAGAUUGCUUCUUUAUCUAGUAGGCGAUUUCUAUCAGCCUCCUCGUCCAAUCAAUCCAUGAGGCUACAUGCAAAUAAUCACAACUCCUCUGAAUCCAACUUUGUUUCGAGCAAACAUGAAGUCCCCAGUGGCCCAAAUCCAGUCUCAAAUUAAUAGGUAGCUUCAACAUAUGUUGCUUCCAAUCAUAUAUAUUUGAUUUUGAUCACAUGUAUUUGCUGCUAUAAGGCCACUUAUCUUGCAGUUCUUGAUUACUUGUAAUACUACUAUGGUCGAGAAUGAAGCUUUAGUUUGUAUGCGUGUUCAAGCAUUGGAAUAGACUUUUGGCUACUUCAUACAAAAUUUGAUGCAAUCCUGUAGCUUCGAUGUUGACUGUGAGAAGAUUUCUGACAGGCGGAACUUGGUGACAGGGAUGACCUGCAUGGCAAAGACAAUAACUAGGAGAAGAAAGCAUUAGUGACCGGAUCAGGGAGGAGUCUUUGCUACAGGCACUUCGAUGUUCAAAUCAAACAAGUGGCCGAGAGGAACAAGAAUGCAAUAAGCAAUAGAAAGAAACAGUGGAUUUUGAGUGUAUAAUGUUUGCAUACUUACGCCUUUAGGAGGAGACUCUUUAUAUAAUUUCAAUUUUUCUUUAUG